UACGUAGGCAGCAAGCGUUGUUCGGAGUUACUGGGCGUAAAGGGUGUGUAGGCGGUUGUUUAAGUUUGGUGUGAAAUCUCCCGGCUCAACUGGGAGGGUGCACCGAAUACUGAAUGACUAGAGUGCGGGAGAGGAAAGUGGAAUUCCUGGUGUAGCGGUGAAAUGCGUAGAUAUCAGGAGGAACACCGGUGGUGUAGACGGCUUUCUGGACCGUAACUGACGCUGAGACACGAAAGCGUGGGUAGCAAACAGG
rnacentral:rRNA from 1 species